GACCAACGCUGGCGGCGUGCCUAAAACAUGCAAGUCGGCUGGCCCUUUGGGGCUGGCGGCAGACGGCUGAGGAACACGUGGGCGACCUGCCCCGGGCUGGGGGAUAACCGCCCGAAAGGGUGGCUAAGACCGCAUGUGCUCCUGGCGCGGAGCUGGGAGGAAAGCCGGGAGGCGGCCUGGGAGGGGCCUGCGGCCGAUUAGCUGGUUGGUGGGGUGACGGCCCACCAAGGCGACGAUCGGUAGCUGGUCUGAGAGGACGACCAGCCAGACUGGGACU
rnacentral:rRNA from 1 species